rnacentral:lncRNA from 1 species
GAUUAUUAAAAACAAUCUUUUCCUUCUACUAUACAAUCACAUGACUAUCAAAAGUAAUGUCAGUGAGACCCUUUUCUAAACUGUAAUGUGCUGUUCAAAUGUGAAAUUAUCACCUAUUAGAACUUUAUCUUAAUGGAACAAGGUUUCUUGCCAAGUGAUAGGUUCUCUUUCACUUGAGUCACAAUGGUCAUUCACACUGGGCCUUCCACUUUAGCUGGAGGUUAGGAUGAGUGCUCUCAAGGGUCUCCUCAAACUGGGAGAUCAUCUGGUUUUAUUCACGUGAAACUUUUCAUUUUGCAGUUUAUCAUCGUAGACACACAGAGGAAGCAAAUCUCGAUUCACUCCUAUGGAGUGAGCAUCACUUUUAUCUUCAUUUUACAGCUGGGGAGUCAGAGACAGAUUUGUCUGAUCCCAUACUUUCAGGAAGUAAUGGGAGUUGAGACCCAAAAAUAUGUGAGUUGUGGAAAGUCAUUUAACCCCUACACGAUCAAGUCUGAAUUUGAACCCAAAUAUCCUAGACAAUACUUCUCUGGAAGCUGGUAUUACGGUUUCUAACAUCUAAGAAGCAGAUCCUUAAGAAGAAAAAAAAUCACUUUUCAACACAAUUUUAUCUCAGAAAAACUCAUAUUCACCUUCCAUUUAUUGGAAUAUUAUCUUCUUAUAAAACAAAAAUAUUUGGACAUCUGAUCCUGAUUAGAUCAACAUCAAAAACCAAUCUAGGAAGAAAAUUGUUAAAGUUUAUUUCUCCCUGCUUUGUAAGAGAUGUCAUUUCUAAUAAAACUAUGGUUAGUAUUUAUGAUUGGUUAAUACAUUUUUAAACUAACUGAUUUCACUUUGCAUGUAUGCCACCAUCAUAACUCAACUUUUUAGAAAGUGUUUUAUGUUCU